CAGCUGGAAAGUCGUGUCGGCUUUUGGAGAAAACUCUGUAAACCAGCCGGGUCUGCCCACAAAUGGAGGAUUCUGGGGUAUUGGGUGCCCAGGCUAGACCCGCUGGCAUCUGAAACUAAGGUCAUGGGAGGUGAAAAUUCAAUGCACAUGAAUCUGAGGUGAUGUAAUUAGAAGCAACAACAUGGGACAAGUUGAGUUCCUGGGCCAGUGGCCCCCAAAUAAGAAGCGACACCCUGCAGGCACAACGUAACUCUCCA
rnacentral:lncRNA from 1 species